UGAUUCUGGUUUCUCUUCACAUCAUGUAAAUCUUUUGCCUUUUACAAAAUAUUUCCAUGGAAAGGAACAUUUAUUUUAUGAACCUUUCAGCAUCCCUAACAAGCCAUCCAAUGGCAA